rnacentral:rRNA from 1 species
GACGAACGCUGGCGGCGUGCCUAAUACAUGCAAGUAGAACGCUGAAGGAGGAGCUUGCUUCUCUGGAUGAGUUGCGGACGGGUGAGUAACGCGUAGGUAACCUGCCUGGUAGCGGGGGAUAACUAUUGGAAACGAUAGCUAAUACCGCAUAAUAGUAGAUGUUGCAUGACAUUUGCUUAAAAGGUGCAAUUGCAUCACUACCAGAUGGACCUGCGUUGUAUUAGCUAGUUGGUGGGGUAACGGCUCACCAAGGCGACGAUACAUAGCCGACCUGAGAGGGUGAUCGGCCACACUGGGACUGAGACACGGCCCAGACUCCUACGGGAGGCAGCAGUAGGGAAUCUUCGGCAAUGGACGGAAGUCUGACCGAGCAACGCCGCGUGAGUGAAGAAGGUUUUCGGAUCGUAAAGCUCUGUUGUAAGAGAAGAACGAGUGUGAGAGUGGAAAGUUCACACUGUGACGGUAUCUUACCAGAAAGGGACGGCUAACUACGUG